AGGUAGCUCAGUGGCAGAGCACCUCUGCCUUGCUCCCAGAAAGUCGCAGGUUCAAUCCCUGUCAUGGGUG